rnacentral:rRNA from 1 species
CGGACGGGUGAGUAACACGUGAGCAACCUGCCUUUCAGUGGGGGGACAACAGUUGGAAACGACUGCUAAUACCGCAUAACGUGCCGGAAGGGCAUCCUUUUGGUACCAAAGAUUUAUCGCUGAAAGAUGGGCUCGCGUCUGAUUAGAUAGUUGGUGAGGUAACGGCCCACCAAGUCGACGAUCAGUAGCCGGACUGAGAGGUUGAUCGGCCACAUUGGGACUGAGACACGGCCCAGACUCCUACGGGAGGCAGCAG